GACGAACGCUGGCGGCGUGCUUAACACAUGCAAGUCGAACGGAAAGGCCCUGCUUGCAGGGUACUCGAGUGGCGAACGGGUGGGUAACACGUGGGUGAUCUGCCCUGCACUUCGGGAUAAGCCUGGGAAACUGGGUCUAAUACCGGAUAGGAGCCAUCUUUAGUGUGAUGGUUGGAAAGUUUUUUCGGUGUAGGAUGAGCUCGCGGCCUAUCAGCUUGUUGGUGGGGUAAUGGCCUACCAAGGCGGCGACGGGUAGCCGGCCUGAGAGGGUGGACGGCCACAUUGGGACUGAGAGACGGCCCAGACGCCUACGGGAGGCAGCAGUGGGGAAUAUUGCACAAUGGGGGCAAGCCUGAUGCAGCGACGCCGCGUGGGGGAUGACGGGCUUCGGGUUGUAAACGCCUUUCGCUAGGGACGAAGCUUUUUGUGACGGUACCUAGAUAAGAAGCACCGGCUAACUACGUG
rnacentral:rRNA from 1 species